GACGAACGCUGGCGGCGCGCUUAACACAUGCAAGUCGAACGGAAAGGCCUGCUUUCCCUUGUGGCUUGCGGGUACUCGAGUGGCGAACGCGCGAGUAUCACGUGAGUGUUCUGCCCCCAACUUGGGAAUAAGCCUGGGAUACUGGGUCUAAUUACCGAUAGCACUGCAGGGUGGUGCCUGUGGUGGAACACGAUGUUCUAGUAGUUGGGGAUGAGCUCGCGGCCUAUCAGCUUGUUGGUGGGGGAAUGGCCUACCAAGGCGGCGACGGGUAGCCGGGCCGGGGUGGUAGACGGGCACAGUGGGACUGAGAUACGGCCCAGACUCCUACGCGAGGCAGCAGUGGGGAAGAUUGCACGAUGGGCGGAAGCCUGAUGCAGGGACGCCGCGUGGGGGAUGACGGCCUGCGGGUUGUAAACUCCUUUCGACCGCGAGGAAGCCACCUGGUUGGAAGGGUAGUGACGGUAGUGGGAGAAGAAGCACCGGCUAACUACGUG
rnacentral:rRNA from 1 species